rnacentral:rRNA from 1 species
GUAACAAGGUUUCCGUAGGUGAACCUGCGGAAGGAUCAUUACAACGUAAAAACGUCCCCGUCAGGGAGUCGGUGGCCAGCGGGCGCCUGAACGGCGUCGGGCCCGUGCCCGGCAGGCCAGUGACUGUAGCUUUGCUAGGGGGGUGGACCCGGACGAAGGUUCAAAGACGACCGGGAGGACCCACGUCACACCUGCCUGCCGGUGCCGCGCCCCGACGACAACUCUCGCGCGGUCGCGACCGUCCGGCUCUCUGCCACACACAAACCACCCUGCGUACCUUUCCACGUUGCUUCCCCGUCCCGUCCGCGGAGCGGGGGAGGUCCAACCCACGAAACCCUUGAUCUAGAACCGCCCGUCAGAAGUAAAAGCAGUUUUACAAAAACUUUCAACAACGGAUCUCUUGGUUCCCACAUCGAUGAAGAACGCAGCGAAAUGCGAUAAGUAAUGUGAAUUGCAGAAUCCAGUGAAUCAUCGAAUCUUUGAACGCACAUUGCGCCCUCUGGCAUUCCGGGGGGCAUGCCUGUCCGAGUGUCAUCAAACACCCUCCCCCGGGACCUUCUCGUAGCGCGUUGGCAAGGGGGGUUUUGGCCGUCUGGCUCUCCACGGGUCCGCUUCGGCGGCCCGACCGGGCCCGGCUCAAAUACCAGGUCUGUAGGCAGGAGUGUGCUGUCGGUCGACGUAAUGGUAACACGUAACGUCGAUCCAGCCCCAGAGUCCUUCAGAACCACAAACGGCGUGCCUCGCGCGGCGACGCCACACCAGCAGUUUGACCUCGGAUCAGGUAGGGAUACCCGCUGAACUUAAGC